rnacentral:rRNA from 1 species
AACGACGCUGGCGGCGUGCUUAAUACAUGCAAGUCGAACGUGAAGUCUUCAGCAAUGGAGAUGGAAAGUGGCGAACGGGUGAGUAACACGUAAGUAAUCUGCCUCUAAGACUGGGAUAACCUUGCCAACGCGGGGCUAAUACCGGAUGUGGUCCCGAUAAUGCAUAUUGUCGGGAUUAAAGGAGCGAUCCGCUUAGAGAUGAGCUUGCGGCCCAUUAGCUAGUUGGUGCGGGUAAUGGCCCACCAAGGCUGCGAUGGGUAGCCGGCCUGAGAGGGUGAUCGGCCACAUUGGGACUGAGAUACGGCCCAGACUCCUACGGGAGGCAGCAGUAGGGAAUUUUGCGCAAUGGGCGAAAGCCUGACGCAGCAACGCCGCGUGAGUGAGGAAGGUUUUCGGACCGUAAAGCUCUGUCGAGCGGGAAGAAGUGUAUCAUGGCUAAUAUCCAUGAUAUUUGACGGUACCGCUAGAGGAAGCACCGGCUAACUCCGUG